rnacentral:rRNA from 1 species
GUCGCAAGACCAAAGUGGGGGACCUUCGGGCCUCAUGCCAUCAGAUGUGCCCAGAUGGGAUUAGCUAGUAGGUGGGGUAACGGCUCACCUAGGCGACGAUCCCUAGCUGGUCUGAGAGGAUGACCAGCCACACUGGAACUGAGACACGGUCCAGACUCCUACGGGAGGCAGCAGUGGGGAAUAUUGCACAAUGGGCGCAAGCCUGAUGCAGCCAUGCCGCGUGUGUGAAGAAGGCCUUCGGGUUGUAAAGCACUUUCAGCGGGGAGGAAGGCGAUAAGGUUAAUAACCUUGUCGAUUGACGUUACCCGCAGAAGAAGCACCGGCUAACUCCGUGCCAGCAGCCGCGGUAAUACGGAGGGUGCAAGCGUUAAUCGGAAUUACUGGGCGUAAAGCGCACGCAGGCGGUCUGUCAAGUCGGAUGUGAAAUCCCCGGGCUYAACCUGGGAACUGCAUUCGAAACUGGCAGGCUAGAGUCUUGUAGAGGGGGGUAGAAUUCCAGGUGUAGCGGUGAAAUGCGUAGAGAUCUGGAGGAAUACCGGUGGCGAAGGCGGCCCCCUGGACAAAGACUGACGCUCAGGUGCGAAAGCGUGGGGAGCAAACAGGAUUAGAUACCCUGGUAGUCCACGCCGUAAACGAUGUCGAUUUGGAGGUUGUGCCCUUGAGGCGUGGCUUCCGGAGCUAACGCGUUAAAUCGACCGCCUGGGGAGUACGGCCGCAAGGUUAAAACUCAAAUGAAUUGACGGGGGCCCGCACAAGCGGUGGAGCAUGUGGUUUAAUUCGAUGCAACGCGAAGAACCUUACCUGGUCUUGACAUCCACAGAACUUUCCAGAGAUGGAUUGGUGCCUUCGGGAACUGUGAGACAGGUGCUGCAUGGCUGUCGUCAGCUCGUGUUGUGAAAUGUUGGGUUAAGUCCCGCAACGAGCGCAACCCUUAUCCUUUGUUGCCAGCGGUU